AACACCACCUGCCAACAUUCAGCCUCCUCUGCCCAUCAGCCUUGCUGACACAGGGAGUGGAGAUUUGUGUAGAGAAAUGACUCAUUCAAAUAUGACUUAAUCUAAACCGUAAGUGUAUGAUUUAUUAAUGUGCCACCAGGCCUUACACCAAGAGAGCCAUUCCAGAGAAAAGUCCUUUUUCUCCUGAGAACAGUGCCAGCAGCUGGCUUCGUGACAUUCUGGAAGCCCCGUGCAAUGCUGUCAGGAGCAUAGGGAUUUUACUUUAUCUCCCUUGCUUAUGCUCCACAUAACUGAAAUAUCUCACUGGAAGCUGCAGCAGUGCUGGCCCCUUGCACAGCCAUAUGUGACCACUGCAGAACAAUCAGUUGGAGAGACAGUUUGGACUACAUGGAGGGUGGAGAUAAGGACAAAGUGAAGAAUACACAGGAACCAGUGCCUCCUCCUGGAACUAUGCAACUCCAAGCUGCUUCCAUCAGCUGCUAGGUCCAGUAGGGAGGGACCUACUGAGAGAAGGUGCCUGCUUCCCUUUCCGCUGUGAUUCAUUGCCAGAAAACUCAUUUCUCAGUGACACCAUUGUAAUUACUCAUUUGAUUAUCCCGCAAUACACAUAUAAGAGUCUCAGGAAAACAGUACCAUCAGCAUUAUAUGAGCUAAUUAAAAAUGUGGUGUCCUGGACUCACGAAGCCAGAAUUGCUGAGGAGAUAGCCCGAGAAUCUGAAUUUUUAGCAGACAUUUUUUUAGGGUGUGGGGAAGAGCGAGAAAAAGAUUUCCGCUCUGGAAGGUAAACAAAUACUCUCUGGAGAGAGAAGAGGAAUGUCCCUAGCAGAUGUCUCCAGAGAAGACAAGACUUUAAAUUCCGCCAGGGAAAUAUACAAUGUCUAACUUCUAAGGCACAUUUGCCAUUCAAUCAUGCUUUAACCCACGUUGCCAGAAAUUUUUGCUCACUAGGUUUUGACUGUACAGGAAUGUGAAAAUAUUCAUGAAGAGUUGUUUUCCAAUGCUAAAGAAUUGAUGUGUUUUAACAGUUGAAUUAAUUGUAUUGAUUAUGAUCACACCUACUUUUUAUAUAUCUUCAUUUCUAACGUUUCUGUACAAUCCUGCCUUUCCACCUGAUAUAGUUAGGCCUUGUGUCAUCAACCAAAUCUCAUCUUGAAUUGUAAUCGCCAUAAUCCCCACGUAUUUAGGGAGAGACCUGGAGGGAGGUGUUUGGAUCAUGGGGGCGGUUUCCCGCAUGCUGUUCUCAUGACCAUGAGAGUAAGUUCUCAAGAGAUCUGAUGGUUUUAUAAGCGUCUGUCAUUUCCACUGCUUGCACUUCUGUGUCCUGCCACCUUGUGAAGAAGGACGUGGUUGCUUCCCCUUCCACCAUGAUUGUGUUUCCUGAGGCCUCCCCAGCCUUGCAGAGCUGUGAGUCAAUUAAACCUCUUUCCUUUAUAAAUUACUCAGUCUCUGUAUUCCUCUGCAGCAGUGUGAGAACAGACUAAUACAUCACCACUUUAUUUACUUUACUCUCUCCCCAUACCGAGGUUUUCUACAUUUUCUUUCUAGGUCUCUACAGUUUCUGCAAAGAUCCUUUAUGGAACUCUUAGGGAAGCUGGGAUGUAUAAUAAAUAAAGGGCUCUUUUCUUUGAGUCCCACACCCAUUUUCUGUGUAUAAAAAUCUUCAACUCCACUUUUGUCUGUUCUAUUUAAAUGUGUGCACAUUUCCUUCUAAUGUUGUAUAUGAAAAAGAGACACCUCUUAGCAGUCUUUCAUAGAGCAAAAUUUUUUACUUUGAUAAAAUCUAAUUUAUCAAUAUUUUUAAAUUUUAUGGAUCAAUCAUGCUUUUGAGGUUGAAUUUAAGAAUGCUUUGCCUAGCCCUAGAUCCCAAGUAUCUUUUAAAAAUUAUUUUUCUAAAUGCAUUAUUUAUGUUUUACACUUAAGUCUAUAAUCCAUUUUGAGUCCAUGUGUAAGAUUUAGGUUAAGGUCAAGAUUUAUCUGUUUUUGUUGUUUUCUCUAUAAAUGUCAAUUGCUCCAGCACUAUUUGUUUAAAAGCCAAUCUUUCCUCCGCUGAGUUCUUCCUAUAAGUUUGUCAAAAGUCAAUUUGGCAUCUUUGUAUAAGUUUAUUUCUGGAUUCUCUAUUCUGUUUUAUUGAUCACUGCAUCUAUCCCUCUUGAUUAGCUAGAUAAUAAAUCCUACAAUAAGGUAGAAUUCUUCCCACUUUAUUCAUAUUCAAAAUAUUUUAAAGCUAUUCUAGUUUCUUUUUAUUUCCAUAUAUAUUUUAGGAUAAUCUUAUCUAUAUUUACAACAUAUGUUGCUAGGAUUUUGAUAGAAUUUGUUUUAAAUUUGUGUAUCAAUGUAGGGAAGACCUGACAUCUUUACUAUUACGUUGAUCUUCCAAUCAAUGAAUAUGGUAUAUCUCUCAGUUUAUAGCUAUUGUCUUUAAUUUAUUUCAUCAUGGUUUUUAGUUUUCAGCAGAGAAGCUUUAUACAUGUUUUGUUAUACAUGUAUAACAAAAGAAGCCUUAUACACUGACAUUUUAUAUUUUGAACAAUUGUAAAUGGUAUUGUUUAAAAAUUUUGUUGUCUAUGAUAGAAAUAAAAUUGAUUUUUGUAGGUUUAUCUUGUAACCUAUGACUUGCUGAGCUCGCUCAUUAGUUUUUUUAUUGUGAUAAAAUAUACAUGAGAUAAAUUUCAUCAUUAUAAUCAUUAAGUUUAGACAUCAAUUGCAUUAAGUACAUAAAUGCCUUAUGCAACCAUCAUCUCUAUCCAUCUCCAGACCCUUUGCAUCACCCUAAAAUGAAACUCUGUGCCCAUUAAACAAUAACUCCCCAUUCUGCCCUCACCCCAGCCCUUGGUAAUUACCAUCCUACCUUUUAUCUCUAUAAAUUUAACCAUCCCAGGUAACUCAUAUAAGUGGAAUCAUGCAGUGUUUGUCCUUUUGUAACUGGUUUAUUUCACUUAGCAUGAUGUCUUCAAGGUUUGCCUAUGUCAUAGCAUGUGUCAGAAUUUCAUCCCUUUUUAAACUUAAAUAAUAUUCCACUGUAGGCAUAUGCCACAUUUUGUUUAUUUGUUCAUCUGUUGAUGGGCAUUUGGGUUGUUUCCACCUUUUGGCUACUGUGAAUAAUGCUGCUGUGAUCAUGGGUAUGCAACUGUCUCCUGGAGUCCCUGCUAUCAAUUCUUGUGGGUAUAUACCCAGAAGUGGAAUUGUUGCAACAUAUAGUAAUUCUAUGUUUAAUUUUUUGAGGACCUGCCAUAAUGUUUUCCACAGUAGCUACAUUGUCUUAUAUUCCCAUUAAGAGUUCCAAUUUCCUCACAUCUUCACCAAUACUUAUUGUUUUCUGUUUUUUUAAAUAAUAGCCAUCAUAAUAAAAGUAACAUGGUAUCUCAUUGUGGUUUUAACUGCAUUUCCCUUUUUACUGGAUUGUUUGUAAUAUUGCUGUAAUUGAGUUGUAGGAGUUUUUAAAUAUGUUCUGAAUAAUUAAUUUCUUAUCAGAUAUGUCAUUUGCAAAUAUUUUCUGCCAUUCUCUGGGUUGUCAUUUCACUCUCUUGAUAGUGUCCUUUGAUGCACAGAAGUUUUGAAAUUUGAUAAAGUUUAAUUUGCGUAUGUAUUUAUUUUGUUGCUUAUGCUUUUGGUGUCAUAUCCAAGAAAUUAUUGCCAAAUUCAGUGUCAUGAAGAUUUUCCCCUGUGUUUUCCUCUAAGAGUAUUAUAGUUUUAACUCUUGCACUUAGAUUGAUCCGCUUUGAGUUAAUUUUAGUAUAUGGGGUAAGACAAGGGCUCAAAUUUGUUCUUUUGUUUGAAGAUUCUAGGUCAUUUGUGAUCUUUAGGAUUUUCUAUGUAGACAUUAAUGUCAUCUUCAAAUAUGAACAGUUUAUUUCUUCCUUUUGUAUAUGUAUGAAUUUACUUUCCUUUUCUUGCCUUAUUGCACUGGCUAGAGUUUUCAGUACUAUGAUGAAUAAAAUCAGUGAGAGCAGACACCCUUGCUUUGUUUCUAAUCUUAGGAGGAAAGCUUUCAGUCUUUCAUCAUUAGGUAUACUGUUAGUUGUAGGCUUAUUAUAGAUGCUCUUUAUCAGGUUGAGGCAGUUUCCUCCUUGGUUAAGACUUUCUAUUUUUCAUUUUCAGUUAUGACCAGGCAUGUUCAUAACUGCUCAUCAAAACUUUGAAUUAGUGGCUGCUUUAACAUCCUUCUCAGACAAUUCUAACAUCUGUUUUGUUGGUGGUGGCAUCUAUCAAUUGUCUUUUUCAUUCUGUUUGAGAUCUUCCUUGCGUUUGGUAUGAUUUUUUUAAAUAUUAUGUCAUGAAACUGCAUCUUAUUUAAAUCUUCUGUUUUAGUUGGCUAUGUCUGACAUCACUUCCCCAGGGGAAGGUGUUGUUACUGCUAGUGGAGGGUGAGAAUUAUGGCUCUCCACUGACAUUGUGGUGGGAUUGGUCCCAUUACCACUGGGCAGGGUUGAAAGUCCUGACUUUCUGCUAGGCCUUCUCUGACUUCAUCGCAGCAGGAGGAAAAGAUGCCUCUGGAGUUGAAGUCAGGUUGCACUGACACUGUGUGUGUAUGGAGGUAGGCUGGGGUGAAAGUGGAGACUCAUUACCACAUGGUGAGUAGUUUCCAGCUCUCUAUUUGGCCUUCUCUGAUACCACCCAGACAGGGACAUUGGGGAUACCUCAUUACAGCCUAGUGAGGGUCAAACUCUAGGCUCCCCACUCAGUCUUUGCUAUCAUGGACACUGUAGGACCAUAGUUUUUUCUGUGCUGUUUGCUUGAUGUGUCUUCCUUGGACCCUGAGUUCCAUAGCUGGUCUGCAUUCCUCUCUCCACCUUUAAGACGUCUUCUUAUGUUUAUUUCAUAUUUAACAUCCAGGGUGGUAAUUAGAGGGAAGAAUAGAGGGAAAAGUACAGUUGCACUUUGUUGUUCAAAGAGCAGUUUUGAACUGCACAGACCCAUUUCUCUGAGCACACCCAGGGAUGAUUGUACUUGUAUAAAAUUUUUUUCCUGGAUGCAGAAUUCUCAAUUGACUGUGAAAGUUCAUAACAAAGAAAACAGUGGGGAAGACAAAUCUGGAAAUGAGGAAAAUAAAAAUUAAAUAGUGAGACCACCCAUGGAGCUUGUGGCAAAGCCUGAAUUGAAUCCGCUGUAUCUUAAGAUUGUGCCUCAUUCUAAAUUUAAGUCACCCUUCUCAUUAUGAAAGUGUCACAACUUCUCAGUAGGUGAGGAGACAGUCUAAAUUUGAGAAAAGAAAGUUACAACAAAGGUUUUGAGCAAGCUGCUAAGUGGAUUUAUUCAUGUUUGAGAAAUCAAAUAUAUGGUUAAUGAGCUCUUUAACUAGAAGCCAACACUAGGGAGGAGUAGACAGAAGUCACGGGGAGGGAGCCCCCGGACAUUUCAAAAGACUUUGCCCUGCAACAUCUCCUCCACAUUUAAGCUUUUAGGUUAUUGUAGCCACAUCACAAGCAUGUUACCUACCCAGAUAUUGUCUGCGCAUCAUUCCCAAAAGCUUCCCUGGGUCUUCAUAAUAUUAAUGAGAUUCUCCCCCAGGUUAGACCCCUUUGGCUUGAGUCAGAAACAGAAUUAAUCCGGGGGACAAUCCAGCAGCACCCAUCUCUGGGUUGCAGAAAUAUCUGAGGUGACCAGGCAGUGUUUGGAGUCCCCUCAGUUAGCUAACAAAGUGAGUUCACAGCUUCCAAGACCCCAGGCUUUCCAGGCUAAUAAAGAGCUGAGGUUAUAGGCUCUCCUUAUCAAACGCUCUUUGGCAGCUGCCAUAACCAUUCCAAGUCUAGUCCUAGAAUAGAAAUGACGCGGUUUCAGGAGCUGACAGAUGGAACUUUAAGCCUUCCUUCCUGCCACAUCUGAAGUUCUUUUUUAAAAAAAUAGAAAACCAUGACAAUAAACACUCCUUGAAUGCCCUGUGGAAAAGUGUACUCCUCAGAAUUCACUAAAGUGGGGUGAAGCAGUGGGUUGUGGUGCUGAGAAAACAUCUCUUCCCCUCGGCAGUAUAUUGGAAUCUCAUAGAAACUUCUGUGGCUGGGAAGCAAACAUGCUCUCUGCCCCAUUGCUCUUAUUCAUCUUUAGACCUGAUAAUACAGUUUGAACUUCAAGUUGCACUUUAAAUGGCAUGCAUUUUUA
rnacentral:lncRNA from 1 species